AUUUGUGAUGAUUUUUGUGUUCAUUUGCAUGUUGUUUUAACUUAUUUGAUUUUUCUAUUAUUUUUUCUGCCAAAUUCUUCAUCUUCAGUAGACCUUUUAUUUUGGUCAUUCACGUCUAUUUGCUGUCAGUUGUGGUUGUUAAAGAAUACGUAUUCGACUUGAUUAAAUAUUGUCGGAUAAUUAGUUUCAUAUUUUCUCUGUUUCGCCCAAAACCAUGAAUCACAC
rnacentral:lncRNA from 1 species